CUCCUUGAAGGUUCCUAAACCCUAAUCAUGAAGAUCACCAAAUUGAGGGAUUAAUUGUAGCUCAAAUUCAAGAAGGAACAUGGAUUAAUGAUCACCUAAGUAUUUCCUACAUCAAUGAGGUGUAGAUGAUAAGCAUCAUGUCAAGAGGACGCAAGCACGAAUGGCAAUCGGGUCAAGAGGAGACAAGGAAAUGGUCACGAAUACGGACACUUAAGGUAGUACGAAUCACAGAUUUUCAUUCCAAGGAGUAGCGAUCAAAGACCGAGUCACUAGUCGGAUUGUACGGGAAUACUUGACUAUGUAAAUUGAUAGUUAUAAGUUAUGUUUUUGUUAUGUAAAUUAAGUACAAAAGAUGCAUAUAAUGUAAGAAAGUGUUUCAUAAUGAACU